CCGGAUUAGCUGAGAGGUGGUGCAUGGCCGUCGUCAGUUCGUACUGUGAAGCAUCCUGUUAAGUCAGGCAACGAGCGAGACCCACGCCCACAGUUGCCAGCGUACUCUCUGGAGUGACGGGUACACUGUGGGACCGCCGCUGCUAAAGCGGAGGAAGGAAUGGGCAACGGUAGGUCAGUAUGCCCCGAAUAUCCCGGGCUACACGCGAGCUACAAUGGUUGGUACAAUGGGUAUCUACCCCGAAAGGGACGGGAAUCUCCUAAAACCAAUCUUAGUUCGGAUUGAGGGCUGCAACUCGCCCUCAUGAAGCUGGAAUCCGUAGUAAUCGCGUUUCAACAGAACGCGGUGAAUACGUCCCUGCUCCUU
rnacentral:rRNA from 1 species